UUUGUCUUUUCUUUUUUUUAAAUUCCUUUGCGUUUAAAAGAAUAUGUCUUUAACUAGAUUCUAACAUACACCAUUAUACAUUCGUAAAACUGAACUUCAACCUAACUGAAUAAACGUCUAUCCAGCAAAAGAGAAAAAUAAAAAAAAAAUAAGGAGAGGAACAAAAUCGAAGACAUUACAAUUGGAGAUAGAAUAGCCUUAAGCAAGAUGACAAUUACUUAGUAAAGCAAAAUACCUUACUACUAAUGUCAGCCAAUUCAACGAAUUUUGGAAUUGUGUAAUUACCACUGUACACAAUUAAGUCAUAGUUCGGAACCAAAAAAACUAAGCACAAUUUGUUCCAAAAUUAGUUGAUUCAACGCCAUACAAGCCCAACAUUACACCAAAAAAGCCUGGUGAACGUAGAUUAAAAUAUAGAAAUAAUAGAUCCUUUGAUCAUUAAGUAUUCCCUUAAUAUGCACCGAAAAAAAAUGAACUUCACCCGAACCUGCUUCCACAUAAACAGGCAUCUUAAUAAC